AAGAAGUGGUGUUCUUGAGAUCUAUCUAGCCCUAAAUAGCUUUGGAAUUUCUCCAUUUGAAAUUCUAUUUAAAUGAAAGGUAGAGGAUUUUGGGGGUUAUCAAAUGAUACAUAGUGCGAUACAGUCAAAACAAGGUAUUAUAGUACAAACCGAAUAGAUACCUCGGAUACAGAUAAACUUAUCAACAGAUUCUCUAGCCUCUCUUUUUCCAUUUCAAUUUCAAUAUUUAUGUUCGUUUUCAUUAUAGGAUAACAAGAGAUUAGAAAUCCUUUACUUUUUUUUCAACCCAAUCGCUCUUUUGAUUUUGGAAAUAUUUUUAUCAAUAUACUGUUUCUUAUACACACACAUGUCCAUUAUGGAANAUUAUAGGAUAACAAGAUGAUUAGAAAUCCUUUACUUUUUUUUCAACCCAAUCGCUCUUUUGAUUUUGGAAAUUUUUUAUCAAUAUACUGUUUCUUAUACACACACAUCUCCAUUAUGGAAUGGAGAAUGGUAAUAUUUAGGAUUCAUUAAAAAAUCAAGAAUACAUUCCUUCCUGGGAGAAAGCCUUCCCGUAUUGGGCACUAAUAUUUUUUUAACGUCUAAUUAGAUCGGGUAAUCAUUCAAAUUAAGAACGGAAGCUCGUUGCUUUUUCUUUCCCUAUAAUCAAAAUGAAAUUAAUUGAAGCCGCGGGGCCCUAUCCAUUUAUUAAUUCGACCCAACUUGAAAUUGACUUCGGUUUGCUCCCUUUCACUAAUUUAAAGAAGGUUUUGUACCGAGCCGGAAUAAAUUAUUCUCAGAACUCUUAAUUGAUACGACAUGCUAUUUUUUCCAUUCAUUCCCUUUCAGGAUCAGUCGUGGUCUUCCAAACUUUACCGAUGGUAUGGAUGAAUCCCUCGCUUCAUCUAAUGUGUAAAAGAUCCUAGCCGCACUUAAAAGCCGAGUACUCUACCGUUGAGUUAGCAACCCAAAUAGAAAACGGGUAUGUAGAUACAAUCAGAAUAAAACAAAAUGAUGAAAUAAAAGCAUUAAAGUACGAAAUCAAAAAAUAUAUAAAAAAAAUUAGAAUCUAUUUGGAACAUAAAAUUGACUAAAUCAGAUGAAAAAAUAAAAAAUUUUCCGAUAAAAAAAGAAAUAAAGAAAUCGAAAAAAUGCUAGACCAUCCCCUAUUUCUAUGUUAUCCACCUUUUUCAAUCAAAAAUGCGGGUAUCAAAGCUAAUCCAACGAACCCAUAAUUUGAAUCAACUAAGGUAAAAAAUCAAAUGGGACGGAAAUAAAUAGAGCUGAUUAUCACGAUGAAUUAUAUUUGUUUGAUACAAUAUUGUCAAUAUAAAGGGUAAGAAAAGAAUACGAUGGAAAAAAUUCAAGAACUUAAAUUGAAAUAAUAGUAAAAAAGGACUUGUGUUGGAUUGGCACUGCAUAUAUACUAAAAUUUUUAGUUUCUAAAUAAAGAAGAAGUAGAAAAAGGAUUUAUGCAAUCAAAGUAUAUUGANAUCAAUAGUAUAUUGAAUUAAUAUAAGUCGAAUAAAGAACUUCGAUUCCUUGUGUCUUACUUGGUAUUAGAAUUUAGAAUUCGAAUGAAAACCACCCGAUUGUAGGCAAGAAUUUUUGAUUUUGUGAGGAUCAAUCAAAUAAGGUUUUCGUUAGAAAAAGAUUCUAUAAAAGAAAUGAUAAAUAGAUACUAAUAGAGCAAGAAAAGAAGGAAAAAAAAACAUAGUAUAGAAAAGAUAUCCAAAAUUAU
rnacentral:lncRNA from 1 species